GUCUGGUCUAGGUACAGUGGUGGUUCCACUAACUGAUCACCACCAGUUACAGAUUUCUUUGUUCCUUUUCCACUCCCACUGCUUCACCUGACUGGCCAAAA
ensembl:misc_RNA Y_RNA Y RNA